rnacentral:rRNA from 1 species
AUUGAACGCUGGCGGCAGGCCUAACACAUGCAAGUCGAACGAGUGGCGGACGGGUGAGUAAUGUCUGGGAAACUGCCCGAUGGAGGGGGAUAACUACUGGAAACGGUAGCUAAUACCGCAUACCAUCGGAUGUGCCCAGAUGGGAUUAGCCAGUAGGUGGGUGAACGGCUUACCUAGGAGACGAGCCCUAGCUGGUCUGAGAGGAUGACCAGCCACACUGGAAGUGAGACACGGUCCAGACUCCUACGGGAGGCAGCAGUGGGGGAUAUUGCACAAGGUGCGCAAGCCUGAUGCAGGGACGCCGCGUGAGGGAUGAAGGCUUUAGGGUUUGAAACCUCUUUCGGUACAGAACGGGUAUGUGCAGAAGAAGCGCCGGCUAACUACGUGCCAGCAGCCGCGGUAAUAC